UACAGAGGGUGCAAGCGUUGUUCGGAAUUAUUGGGCGUAAAGGGCGCGUAGGCGGUGCUGUAAGUCUGUAGUGAAAUCUCUGGGCUCAACUCAGAGUCUGCUAUAGAAACUGCAGUGCUAGAGUGUGGGAGAGGUGAGUGGAAUUUCCGGUGUAGCGGUGAAAUGCGUAGAUAUCGGGAGGAACACCUGUGGCGAAAGCGGCUCACUGGGCCACAACUGACGCUGAGGCGCGAAAGCUAGGGGAGCAAACAGG
rnacentral:rRNA from 1 species